rnacentral:rRNA from 1 species
UACGUAGGGUGCGAGCGUUAAUCGGAAUUACUGGGCGUAAAGCGUGCGCAGGCGGUGAGCUGUGUCCGAUGUGAAAGCCCCGGGCUUAACCUGGGAAUGGCAUUGGAAACUGGCUCGCUGGAGUGUGGCAGAGGGGUGGAAUUCCGCGGUGUAGCAGUGAAAUGCGUAGAGAUGCGGAGGAACACCGAUGGCGAAGGCAGCCCUGGGCUAACACUGACGCCUCAGGCACGAAAGCGUGGGAGCAAACAGG